UGAGGAAUAUUGGACAAUGGACGCAAGUCUGAACCAGCCAAGUAGCGUGCAGGAUGACGGCCCUAUGGGUUGUAAACUGCUUUUAUGUGGGGAUAAAGUGCGUGACGUGUCAUGCAUUGCAGGUACCACAUGAAUAAGGACCGGCUAAUUCCGUGCCAGCAGCCGCGGUAAUACGGAAGGUCCGGGCGUUAUCCGGAUUUAUUGGGUUUAAAGGGAGCGUAGGCUGUCUAUUAAGCGUGUUGUGAAAUAUACCGGCUCAACCGGUGGCUUGCAGCGCGAACUGGUCGACUUGAGUAUGCAGGAAGUAGGCGGAAUUCAUGGUGUAGCGGUGAAAUGCUUAGAUAUCAUGACGAACUCCGAUUGCGCAGGCAGCUUACUGUAGCAUAACUGACGCUGAUGCUCGAAAGUGCGGGUAUCAAACAGG
rnacentral:rRNA from 1 species